rnacentral:rRNA from 1 species
UACGGAGGGGGCUAGCGUUGUUCGGAAUUACUGGGCGUAAAGCGCGCGUAGGCGGCUUUGUAAGUUAGAGGUGAAAGCCCGGAGCUUAACUCCGGAACUGCCUUUAAGACUGCAUCGCUAGAAUUGUGGAGAGGUAAGUGGAAUUCCGAGUGUAGAGGUGAAAUUCGUAGAUAUUCGGAAGAACACCAGUGGCGAAGGCGACUUACUGGACACAUAUUGACGCUGAGGUGCGAAAGCGGUGGGGAGCAAACAGG